GGUUAAGUGACUAAGCGUACACGGUGGAUGCCUUGGCAGUCAGAGGCGAUGAAAGACGUAGUAACUUGCGAUAAGCCCAGAUUAGGUAGUAACAACCAUUUGAGUCUGGGAUUUCUGAAUGGGGAAACCCACUUACAUAAGUAAGUAUCAUUAACUGAAUACAUAGGUUAAUGAGGCGAACCGGGGGAACUGAAACAUCUAAGUACCCCGAGGAAAAGAAAUCAACCGAGAUUCCGAAAGUAGCGGCGAGCGAAAUUGGACUAGCCCUUAAGCUUUACACGCGUUAGACGAACGGUCUGGAAAGUCCGACGAUACAGGGUGAUAGUCCCGUAGUUGACGACGUGUGUUCAGUGAAAUCGAGUAGGGCGGGACACGUGAUAUCCUGUCUGAAUAUGGGGGGACCAUCCUCCAAGGCUAAAUACUACUGACUGACCGAUAGUGAACCAGUACCGUGAGGGAAAGGCGAAAAGAACCCCUGUGAGGGGAGUGAAAUAGAACCUGAAACCGUGUACGUACAAGCAGUAGGAGCAGGCUUUGUCCUGUGACUGCGUACCUUUUGUAUAAUGGGUCAGCGACUUAUAUUCAGUGGCAAGGUUAACCAUCUAGGGGAGCCGUAGGGAAACCGAGUCUUAACUGGGCGUUCAG
rnacentral:rRNA from 1 species